UACGUAGGGGGCGAGCGUUGUCCGAAGUUACUGGGCGUAAAGCGCGCGUAGGCGGUCAUUUAAGUCUGGGGUGAAAGGUUCAACGCUCAACGUGAACAGUGCCUUGGAUACUGGGUGACUUGAGUUCGGGAGGGGGCAGUGGAAUUCCAGGUGUAGCGGUGAAAUGCGUAGAUAUCUGGAGGAACACCGAUGGCGAAGGCAGCUGCCUGGCCCAGAACUGACGCUGAGGCGCGAAAGCGUGGGGAGCAAACAGG
rnacentral:rRNA from 1 species